GUUCUGAUCUGUCAUGAGAAGACUGCUUUUAUUAACUUAAGCUCCUAUCAAGGGCGACUCUAAAAGGAUCAGCCCCCCAAAAGAAACGGAUUCCUUACCGGCAGCCCCGAGGAUGAGGAAUUUCCCCAAAGCCAGUUCCUACCUUCCACCAGGAGAGUUGCCAUAAAAAUAGAUGAAAGCUAAGAGACAAUGAAGAGAUCUGUGGAGGCCUCCACCUCAGGGCUCCCAUCCUCUCAGUCUGGGUCCACCCAAGAUGGUUGGCGUAUCUUUACCCCAUUUGCCGAGAGGACCGUACAAAACCUGGUGAUGUUUGGGGGUACAUUUGCCCAGGCCUGCUGAAGGAGGAAGGGGAAAAAAAUUGUUUUUGGUCUGGUUAAAGCUAUCCAUGAGCCACAGGGAAGAUUUCAAAGACUCAGGAUCUUGCUCCUAAAACAACACCAUGGAGUGGUGAUGGGAAACAGCGAGGCUGCGAGAGUAAAACAGAGCUUCUCCAGACCUUUCCCUCCUGCAGAGGCCAGACCUGCAUUUUUGCCUUCAUUCCACAGAGAUGUACUGAGUUACUACUACACCCCCACCCCCCGGUGCCAUGGCACAGUGCAGGGCUGAGGGCUCAGGCUCUCAGAAUGCUUGAUUUGAAUCCUCGCUCUGCUGGCCACCCCGGGGAAGUGACCUGACUCUGGGCCUCAGCUUCCUGGUCUGGAAAGCAGGAUCGCGAUAGCACCAUUCCUUUAGAGUGAGGUAAGGAUUAACUGAAGUCAUUCCUAAGGUCUUAGAACAACCACAGGCACAUAGUAAGUACUCAGUAUGUGUUGAUUGUUGCUAGUAUUAUUCCUGUGCUAGGCACAUGUGGGUCUCUGGUCGUGAAGGUGGUCACGAGCUGGUUGAGACGGAUGUUCCCACGUAAACACAAAAAGUAUGACAAGGAGUAUGGCCGAUGAGGUACCAAUUGAAUGGAAAAGAAUUCAGUUCUAAGGAACAGGCAGAGGGCAAGAUUGCUGUGUCAGGAGAAGGCUUCACAGAGGAAGGAAGGCUUAAGCUGGGCUUGCAAGAUGUGCAAAAUUUGGCUGGACCACAAAAAGGCAUGACAGAGGUGGGGAGAGCUCCAGGCAAGGGGCUAGAGCCCCAAGAAUCCACAAGAAUUAAGCUAGAAGUCCAAGCAUUAUGCAACGCUGAUGCUUUCAAGACUGCAAGCCAAACCUCUUCAAUUAAGAUUUCCAAAUCAAAAUGUUGGCCUUUCUUAUAGAGAAAAAAAUAUUGAUUUGUGUUAACUUCAUCUGACAAAACAAUGUUACAAAGCAAGGGCAACAGAGCUUAUUGUGAAGAGAACCAGAAGAGGCAUGGAUCUAUUAUAAAUAGAGCUUCGAUUUAUAAAAGGGGAGGAUGGAUAUAUUUGACAGAGAUGUCACUGAAAUAAAAUCAUAUUGAUUGGUGAGGUAAAAAGUAUUCUGCCCAAAAAGUGUUCUAUUCGUUCAAUCAUUCUUCGAAUAGGUAUUGAGUAUUUACUGUGUCCCAGGCAUUCAGGGGGGACUCUGGUAGUGACAAUAAACAUGGAUUCUGCUA